AGUCAUCCCCGUUACAUUUUUUUUUGCCAUUUCAAAAAAUGGACUCUAUUGCUCUCUUUUGCACUGGAGCUCUCCUCGCCGGCGGCAUCUACUGGUUCGUUUGCAUUCUCGGCCCAGCAGAGCAGAAAGGCAAACGGGCUGUAGAUCUUUCUGGCGGCUCGAUCUCUGCCGAGAAAGUCCAGGACAACUACAAGCAGUACUGGUCCUUCUUUCGCCGCCCAAAAGAGAUCGAAACAGCAGAGAAAGUCCCCGAUUUCGUCGACACAUUCUACAACUUAGUCACCGAUAUUUACGAGUGGGGAUGGGGCCAGUCCUUCCACUUUUCUCCGUCAGUCCCAGGGAAGUCCCACCGUGAUGCGACGCGCCUCCAUGAAGAGAUGGCCGUCGAUCUCAUCGACGUCAAGCCUGGAGAUCGAAUCUUAGAUGUGGGAUGCGGCGUUGGUGGGCCUAUGCGUGCCAUCGCCGCCCACUCACGCGCCAAUGUUGUGGGCAUCACCAUCAACGAUUACCAGGUGAACCGUGCGCGUUUGCACAACAAGAAAGCUCGCCUAGAUUCGCUCUGCGAAGUUGUGUGUGGGAAUUUCCUGGAGAUGCCAUUCCCGGAAAACAGCUUCUACGGUGCAUACUCUAUUGAAGCUACAUGCCACGCGCCGAAGCUGGAAGAGGUAUAUGCGGAGAUCUUCCGAGUAUUGAAGCCUGGAUCUCUCUACGUGUCCUAUGAAUGGGUCACAACUGACAAGUACAAUGCUAACAAUCCUGAACACGUAGAGAUCAUUCAAGGCAUUGAAAGAGGAGAUGCCUUGCCUGGGCUCCGAAGCUACACAGAUAUCGCCGAGACGGCGAGGAAAGUCGGGUUCGAGGUGGUGAAAGAGAAGGACUUGGCAAAACCACCGGCACAGCCAUGGUGGACGAGACUUAAAAUGGGUAGGAUCGCCUACUGGAGGAAUCACCUUCUCAUUACAAUAUUAGCUGCCUUGGGGAUAGCUCCAAAGGGAACCGUGGAUGUCCACGAGAUGCUUUUCAGAACCGCGGAUUAUCUGACAAAGGGAGGCGACACUGGGAUUUUCACUCCGAUGCAUAUGAUUCUCUGCAGAAAACCUGAAACACCCUCAAAUUCUUAAUCGAAGAGAUGGUUUGAGAAAUUGUAAAGGCGCUUUUGCAAAGAAAAGGCGUAGCUAGGUGGGCAGGGGCCAGCAGUCCAGCACUGGUUCUUGACUUUUGCUCUGGGAUAAUUCAGCCAAAUGGAUACAGCUUUUUGUGGCUGUAGGAUGUCAUGUUGACUAUGGGAUUGGGCUGGAUCCUCUCAUUUACCGGUGGAUAUUAAUAGAGGGGUAUUUGUGGGCAGCUCACUCGAGGCUAAAAAGUGGAAAGAUUUUGGGCAAUGUAUGCAAUCUCAAGGAGUAAUUGAAGGAUGAGUAGCUUGGAGGUCCCACGUUCUGAAUCUUCUCCAAGAUUUCUUAUUAAAUUUGGUGAUGUUUCCCUGAAUAGAGUCCGGUCAUGAGAGAGUUGCACCGUGGAUGAUACGAUACGAUACGACUUCAUUUCAGCAAAGCUUGUGUUUCUAAUAUUAUAUGUUUAUGUUAGGACGCAUAGCGAAAGAACUUGGCUGUUCUUUACACAGUUCAUUAAGGAUUUUUGGAAAUAUUUUGUUUUUGGC